GAUGAACGCUGGCGGCGUGCCUAAUACAUGCAAGUCGAGCGAACAGACGAGGAGCUUGCUCCUCUGACGUUAGCGGCGGACGGGUGAGUAACACGUGGAUAACCUACCUAUAAGACUGGGAUAACUUCGGGAAACCGGAGCUAAUACCGGAUAAUAUAUUGAACCGCAUGGUUCAAUAGUGAAAGACGGUUUUGCUGUCACUUAUAGAUGGAUCCGCGCCGCAUUAGCUAGUUGGUAAGGUAACGGCUUACCAAGGCAACGAUGCGUAGCCGACCUGAGAGGGUGAUAGGCCACACUGGAACUGAGACAGGGUCCAGACUCCUAAGGGAGGCAGCAGUAGGGAAUCUUCCGCAAUGGGCGAAAGCCUGACGGAGCAACGCCGCGUGAGUGAUGAAGGUCUUCGGAUCGUAAAACUCUGUUAUUAGGGAAGAACAAAUGUGUAAGUAACUAUGCACGUCUUGACGGUACCUAAUCAGAAAGCCACGGCUAACUACGUG
rnacentral:rRNA from 1 species